rnacentral:pre_miRNA from 1 species
AGCACAAACUUGAGGUAGAGUAGUUUAGUAGGGUCAGAUGAUACUUCUAAUCUACUCUACUUCAAAUUUGGGUCC